rnacentral:rRNA from 1 species
UACGGAGGGGGCCAGCGUUGCUCGGAAUCACUGGGCGUAAAGGGCCUGUAGGCGGUUUGAUAAGUCCUGUGUGAAAUCCCUUGGCUUAACCAAGGAAUUGCGCCGGAUACUGUCAGACUAGAGGCCGGGAGAGGGAAGCGGAAUUCCGAGUGUAGCGGUGAAAUGCGUAGAUAUUCGGAGGAACACCGGUGGCGAAGGCGGCUUCCUGGACCGGUUCUGACGCUCAAGGGCGAAAGCUAGGGGAGCAAACAGG